rnacentral:rRNA from 1 species
GACGAACGCUGGCGGCGUGCUUAACACAUGCAAGUCGAACGGAAAGGCCCUGCUUUUGUGGGGUGCUCGAGUGGCGCACGGGUGAGUAACGCGAGAGUAACCUGCCCUUGACUUUGGGAUAACUUCAGGACACUGGGGCUAAUACCGGAUAGGAGCUCCUGCUGCAUGGUGGGGGUUGGAAAGUUUCGGCGGUUGGGGAUGGACUCGCGGCUUAUCAUCGUGUUGGUGGGGUAGUGGCUUACCAAGGCUUUGACGGGUCGCCGGGCUGAGAGGGUGAACGGGCCCAUUUGGGCUGGGAUACCGGCCAGGCUCCCUAGGGGGGGAGGGGGUGGGGAAAAUGGAAAAUGGGGCGGAGCCUGAAGGCGGAAAGGCCGGGGGGGGGAGGAGGGCCUUCGGUUGUUAAACGGUUUCGGCCUGUGAGGAAGUUUGUGUGACGGUAAUGGGUAAAGAAGCACCGGCUAACUACGUG